GCAUCGGUGGUUCAGUGGUAGAAUUCUCGCCUCCCACGUGAGUGACCCGGGUUCGAUUCCCGGUCGAUGCA
rnacentral:tRNA from 1 species